rnacentral:lncRNA from 1 species
AGUCUUCCCGGCAGCAGUGAGCUCUGUUCGUUUUUCUGAGUAAUAUGGAAAUGGCACGGCUCAGCCACACAAGGGCCUGGGCAAAGGUCACGGCCAGCAAAGAACACAGCCUGGGUCCUCUGAGUCCCGAGUCCACGCGAUCCUGACCCGUCCACCACCCUCCUCGAGACACGACAAGUUAGGCGGGAACAUAACCUGGGAGCCCCAUGUCGGUUUCAGGCUCCACAAGGGAUCUCUGGGUAAAGGGUUUGUCUCUUCCACAUCUGUUCAUUUAGGAGAAGCAAAGAACAUGGAAAGCAGAAUUCCUGGGGGUGGCCUCAACCCCAAGCCCUGCCGAUGCAAACCGGCACCUUGAAGAUGCCUUUGGAAUUUAACUGGAAGAUUUGAAUGACAUGGGCAGACACAGAAGAGGGAGAAGCAUUCCACAGGGGAGGAAAGGCCUCAGUGGGGACCUAUGGAGCUCCCAGGCCCACCGCAGGGAGGCAGGUCCUCGGUCAUCUGCGGAGGUCAGUAUCUAUCAAAGCCCAGCCGCAGAUAGAUGAGCUGGGCCUGGCGGGGUCUUGUAGGAUGUGUAGGAGUUUGUGAGGCAGAGCAGGAAUGAAAGCAGAGGGGACAGGAGGGGCAGAACCAGAGUCAGGACAUUCAUUGGCUAAUUUCCUGUUCUUGGUCCCUCUCCCCCAUUAAGCCACAACCUCCCCCACACCAGAGCAGGCACCAGGUCCUCCUCGUCACAAGUGCCAGGCAUAAAGCAGGCACUCAAUAAACAUCCAGGAAGGAGACGGCAGGGGAGGAGGCGACAUGAUGACUCCAGGACCCAGAGUGGAGGGAGAACACUUUCAGUCGAAGGAGCCUGGGACCCUUGACACAGAAGUGACAUGUGCAUUCGGAACCUCUCUGUGGAAAACACAGACCCUUCAUGACACGCAAACUCGAAGCCGGUGAGGCCGAGUCUCAGGGCUGCGCCAACCAGGAAGCCUGGCUGUCCAAUGUUCCAAAUCUGGAUGUGAAAUGGACCAUGCAGACAGGACCCAAGGGGCAUGGGGGAGCUGGCAGAGGCACCCGGGACAAGUGGGGAAGCACCUGUCGGCCAGGAAGGUAGAGAGGCACCUACCCCAGAACACGGUGCCAGCGUCACACUCUUAUUAACAGAUGCAAUAACCACCUUCGGAGACCAGACCCCUCAAAGAGCACUCAGCCCACAAUGUGACGCAGAGAAACCAGAGACCCAGGCAGGGAGUGCACCCACGGGGACACUCCGAGGGUGGC